rnacentral:rRNA from 1 species
GACGAACGCUGGCGGCGUGCCUAAUACAUGCAAGUCGAGCGAAGUUUUUCUGGUGCUUGCACCGGAAAACUUAGCGGCGAACGGGUGAGUAACACGUAAAGAACCUGCCUCAUAGACUGGGACAACUAUUGGAAACGAUAGCUAAUACCGGAUAACAGCAUUAACUGCAUGGUUGAUGUUUAAAAGUUGGUUUUGCUAACACUAUGAGAUGGCUUUGCGGUGCAUUAGCUAGUUGGUGGGGUAAAGGCCUACCAAGGCGACGAUGCAUAGCCGACCUGAGAGGGUGAUCGGCCACACUGGGACUGAGACACGGCCCAGACUCCUACGGGAGGCAGCAGUAGGGAAUCUUCCGCAAUGGGCGAAAGCCUGACGGAGCAACGCCGCGUGAGUGAAGAAGGAUUUCGGUUCGUAAAGCUCUGUUGUUAGGGAAGAAUGAUUGUGUAGUAACUAUACACA